rnacentral:rRNA from 1 species
CGGGGUGAGUAACGCGUGAGUAACCUGCCUUCAAGAGGGGGAUAACAUUCUGAAAAGAAUGCUAAUACCGCAUGACAUAUCGGAACCACAUGGUUUUGAUAUCAAAGAUUUUAUCGCUUGAAGAUGGACUCGCGUCCGAUUAGUUAGUUGGUGAGGUAACGGCUCACCAAGACCGCGAUCGGUAGCCGGACUGAGAGGUUGAACGGCCACAUUGGGACUGAGACACGGCCCAGACUCCUAGGGAGGCAGCAUG